AUCUCGGAGCACGCAUGAUGAACAGUGGCAUAAGAAGGAGAAGCGUCUAGUGUUUCGACCAAUUUCAUUUAUUUACAAAGGACCAGCUGCCCAAUAGCCUCGUGUAGACACCGAUGAAAGAUUGAUUAAAGCACGGUCAAGGUGCAAAGCAUUGCUUUCCACUUAAAUUCACCGUCUGUGCCGUCACGUCGUCCAAGGAAUUUUGCCACCUGCUGCCUAAUAACGGAACACCGCUUGCUCCUUGUUACCUCGCGUGUCCAUCGAGCCUUUUCUCUCGUUCGAGAGCCCACGACAACGUCUUCGUUAGCGGCAAUUUCUGGCCGGCGGAGGAAGAACGAAUCCCUCCUUCCCCCCCAAUCCUCGCCCUACAGGAAGAGAUUGACGUGGUCGUCGGUCGUUAUUUUCUCUUUCGGGGUGAACGUGGAUGGUUGGCGCGCGCCACGUUCGAUCCACUAAAUCACCGGUACCACGGGCGAGCGACGUUAUUAAUGAGGCACUAAUAGCGACCGUACGAGGGCCAUGUUUCGUAUUCCCGCUCGACCCACUCUCAUCGUUCGCCACUUAGCGAUAAUUGUUAUCGUGGCAAGAACCGGGCUUCCGGUACAAAUCGACCGCUAUGAAAAUCGAUCAUCGUCUUCGCUCGAGGCUGCCCUCGCCAGCCACAGGAUUUUGGACUUGAUUUACGCUCUUUGUCCCGCGUGCACGGCCGGGUUUAAAGUAAUGGUGUAGAAAGUAAUGGUGUAUCGACAAUCGUUGUGAAUCUCUUAUUCGAUAUCGGUAAGUGUGAUGAUAAUGUAUGUAAUUCCAAAAUUCUUAUUUCAAGGCGGUGGAUUUUAAAAGGGAAAGGAAAGAUCAUGAGUCAAUUAAGUCUGGUCGAGAGAUGGAGGAGGAAACAUGAGUCUGAUCAUCAAGGUCGUUAUAUUACUUAUAGCACGAUUACAAUUCGUUUAUAUUACUGAUAUAGAAUGGAAUGAUCAGGCACGAAAUAAUU